UGACAUCUAGAUUGCGGCGAAGCUGGCAGCGGCUGGGACCCAGAGAGAAGGGAAAGAAGUGAAAUCUGGAGCGGAGGCUUUUCCAGGAGCUCAACCCAGAACAAGCGCUUUGGAGCCUCCAGACUCUGGAGACUUUUUCUCUUUGUCUCUUUUUCUUCUUCUUUUUCUUCGAAAUGUAGUUGUAUAUUUGAGAAAAGAAAAGCCUCAGCCUCACUAGUUGAUGAGAGAGGUUCUGUGCCGCUAAGGCUCCGUUUUGCAGAGCACCGCAUCGCGCCGCAGCUGCUUUUGCACAGCCGAACAUCAGCAACCGUUUCCCCGCUCCAAACCGCAGCCGCCCCGCUGCCUUGGUCCCGAAAUGUGCGACCUGAUGCCGGCCUCCCAGCCCGCUGAGAAGAUAGGCAAGAUGAAAAAGUUGAGGAGAACUUUGUCGGAGAGUUUCAGAAGUAUCGCUUUCAAGAAGGAAGACAGCGGCUUUGAUGAGGUAGGUUGAAAUCGUAGGAUUUUGGGGAGCGAGUGCCAUCCCUGGCCCCGUUUCAGGGCUGGGCUGUAGCGAUGUGUUUGCCUGAAAUGAUUUUUCAAGGUCUCGUUGGCCAGAUGUUGUCAUGAAGGACUGCAGUGCGGUUGAUUUUUUUCAGUUUCCUGUGGAUCCUGUGGGAACUUGGUGCAUAUGGUGUGUAAUAUAUUCAGCUCUCAUCUCAGAGACAUCCCCCUGGGUCAGUCACCAUCACAGGACUGCUUUGGCCUGCCAAGUGAGACACCAAACCAGACUGGCUCUGCUCUCAGGACUCAGAUGGAAAUGUAUUGUAUUAUUUUCCUUCAUGGGAACGCCUGAGUUUUCCCUGCUUGUUGUGUUUCAAACAAUUCAAUUAGCUCAGGAUCUUCUCUCUUGUUCAUAUUAGCUGUAUUUCCUUUACAAAUGUGCACAAAACUUUGUCAUUAUUCCGCUAAACUAAAAUGCAAACACAAUUUAGCAAUUGUGUUGUUUCCGUUAAAUACAAUUAACACAAUUAAAAUCACACAUGAAAAAAUUUGUCAUGAGUCAUUAACAAACAUGCUGUGCCAUAAUCCUCCUACUACUUUUCAUGGUUUGCGCCAGUGGAAACAUCUAGUUGAUCAAACCAAUAUUGAUAUGGCCAAAAAAAAAAAAAAAA